UACUGAAGUGGGUUGCAUUUCCUUCUCCAUGGGAUCUUCCCGACCCAGGGAUAGAACUCACAUUUUCUGCAUUGGCAUAUAGAUUCUUUUCCUCUGAGCCACCAGGGAAGCCCCUCAUUAUUUUAGUGUCUUCUAAAGGCCACACCUAUUAUGAUGCAUCAGUGUCAUUCUGGAAUGUUAGAUAGACAGUUGAGCCCCGUAGUCCAUCAAGUGAAACCCCAUUACUGUUGGUUGGAUGAAAAACUCAGACCUUUUAUUAAAAUUUGGUGGCUGAAUAUAUUUUAACUCCUGCAUUGUUUAAGGAGUAUAAAUGUGAGUACCCAUGCCCUUCCUUUGGCUUUUCUGGCCAGAUCUUGGCCAUUAAAAAAAUAAUGGUGAUGACAACAAAAGCAAUUCAUGCCAUACUUUCUGUAAGUUUCUUUGCUGUUGGCAAAGCAAAGUGUGUAGUCAUCUCUAAUGAUGUAUAUACCACCUAAGGCUUACUCCAGUGAUAAAUAAGACUCACUCUGUGUCCUGUGCUUUUCUAAAGGGUUUUUAAAAUCUAGAUGCUCAAGCUCCACUCUGGAGUUCCUACUUCUAGAUAAGAGCCUAGAAAUCUGAUUUGGGGAAAAUACUCUCUUUCUGAUGCCAAGUCAGUCCAGGAAUCCUUGCUCACUCCACUCUGGAGUAUGGGCCAUCUCCACAUCAGGAUGUGGACUUUCAGCCAUGAUGCUCCUACACAGACUGUCUCUUCAGUCUGAAAUGCUCUUUGAUCUUUCCUUAAGAAACAUAAUAUUAAUCAUCAGCUCUGCUGGAGUACCAUGCCUACUGUCAGACCCAUGUUCCUUCUUGGAAACACUUCCAAAAAAAAAAUUACUUAUUUGUUUGGCUGCCUUGGGUCUUAGUUGUUAGAAGGAUGCUUGUUGCAUCAUGCAGGAUCUCUCACUGUGGCUCUCGGGCUGCAGUAGUUGCAGCGCAGACUUAGUUGCUCCAGGACGUGCGGGACCUUAGUUCACCUACCAGGGAUGGAACCUGUGUCCCCUGCAUUGCAAGGCGGAUUCUUAAACACUAGACCCCCGGGGAAGUCCUGGAAACACUCGACUUUUGAUGAGAUUGGGAAAAAUGAACAUUAUUUGAAAGAUUUUUCUCUCCUUGCUCAUAGUAAGCGCCACAGUUUGCAACUGUACAUGCAAAUGUCCAUAAAAUGAAAUUGUAGCUACACAUAAGAUGUGUAGCUAUAGUUUUUCUUUUCUUUUCUUGGGUGAUUGAUUACAAAUGGUAGGUUUUUAUUGACAUACUGAAUAGUGGCAUUUUGUAGGGUAGACUGCUGUAUUUCUUUCUUAAUUUUUUUCUCCUUUUAAGGCCCUGAAAUAAAGGGAAGGUUGAAAAGUCAGUUUCUGAAUUUUGCUACAUAAAAUUUUCUAAGAGAUAGAUAGAUAUACAUUUAAAUUUUAAUUUUUUCCCCUAAAUGAUGGUAACUUCAGUGUACAUCUUGUAGUCCAUAGCAGAGUCAGUGUUAAAGACCAUUAGAUAUUUGACUGAUGCAUUUUCUAAAUGAGGUACAGCUAAUAAAAUCCUCAAAAGAUAAAAAAAAAUAAUAAUAAAGACCAUUAGAGUUAAUUAGAGCAUUUGAUAAUAAGACUUCAGUAAUAUGCACGGACAAGCUUAUGACUUUGGUGAAAGGCAUGGUGUAUAGAUAAGAGAAAGUUUUCUUAAUGAUUAAAGUAGUAAUAGGUUUUUGCAGCUUUGGGAUAACAUAGUACUAAAAGAACAUUGAAUUAUAUAGGGCAAUUUGUUUUUUAAAUAAGUUUCAUUUAAUGUAGUGGCCUGAUCUGAGCGUUAAAGUGAGUAGGAGCCUUUGACAAUAGGUAAAGUACAGCAUUGCUAGUGUUCAGCGUUAAACAUUUAUUUCUUUAGGUGAGGCGGCAAUUUCUGGUAACAUGUCUUUGUAAGGUGUCACUUCUCACAGACUUUUUUAACCUGCCUUCAAUCAAAGUAAUGCUAUUUGAUGUAUAAAUUGUUUUUAAAAGUAGACCUCUUUUUUUCUGCUUUUAUGAUAGAAAUUCUAAGCAGAAAAUGAAAGCAGGAUCCACCCCUAAUUAUCAUUUUCAAAAUUUCAUUCUUUUGAUAUGAAAGGUUUCAUUUACUUUUCCCUUAAAAAAGAAGAAGUAAGCUCUGGACCAUUCUGUUUUGAAUAAGACAUUCUCUGUAUUUUUCUGUUCCAAAUAUGUAAAAUAAAUACCAGUUUUUAAAAUUAUUUUUUUACAUGUCUAGGAAUAAGAUUUUCUAGUCACAUGCUAGAAAAUGAAAGGACCUUUACUGUAAAAUGUGAUAAUGUAAAGUUUGAGAGGGAAAUGAAGACUAAACAACCAUUCAGGAGACCAGCAGAAUUCAAUGUCAAAAAAGGAGGCAGUUGUUACCUUAAUCAUUUCACCCCAACUGAUAGACUCACUGCUUGAGUGUCAUCACUAAAUGGUCCUGAACUUGACCAGUGGACUUUCAGUUAACUGUGAGUGGACUCUGUUUACACAAUGGUGAUUUCACCUAAUUAUGGCAUGGUUUAAAAUUCUAUGAGAACCAGACCACACAUUCUUCUGCUCUUAGGCUGUGUUGUUUUCAGAGAUGCUAACCUGUUAGUGAUUAACCAAGAUUAGGGUCUUGGACGCUUGUGGUUAUCAGAAAGCUUUCCCUGAGGAUGUCUACAGUUCAAGGAGAAUUUCUGCAUUUAUGUCUAGGAGGGAUGCUCUAAAACCAUAUUGAGUUUAUGUAAAGACAUAUUUGUUUUGUGAAUGUUUAGCGAUGCCGUUGGAUGAUUGAAAUGAAAAAUUUGACACUAAAGGGACGUAGUCUGGACUUAAAAUGCCAGACUGUUGUUCUUUUCAGCCUUAAUGGGAUAAGAAGUAAAUUAGCGUAUUUACAGAAAAAAAAUUCUAUGUGAUCUUGUAGCUUUGAAAUAACUAUGCAAAGAAGCAGGAUGUACAGUAUGUAUGAAGAAAUUCAGUUGCUAGCUGUGUUCAUUCUUGUCUUUCUGCUUCUAAAAUGCAUCUUUGUAAUAUUUUCCACUUUUUAAUUUCCUGCUCUAUUUCCUAUCGCAAAUUCUGUGAACUAUUUUGAUUUGUUGUGUUUUCCCAUUACAUAUAGUAAUUAACAAGUCUUUGUCAAAUAUAAAAAGUAGUGAAUGAAAAAAAUCAAUGGUAGAGCUGAGGUUCAAAUCAGAAUCUAAAUGUUGCCUUUUCUGUUCUUUAAGCACUCAUCUAAACCUUUCUAAACAUUAUUUUGAGGAUAAAUGAUAAAAAUAACAAAAUAAUGCAUAGUAUUUCAGACAGUGAAAUGUUUGUGAUCUUUUUAAAUAUUUUUUCUCACAAUUUUUUAAUAGCACAGAAGUUGAUAAGACCCAAACUGUAACAAGAAGGAGUAACCAGUUUGUAUUGAUUUGUAGGCUUACUCACUUUUUCUCCAUAUCAUCAAUUUUCUACAUGAAGCUUAAAUAUGGAAUUUCUGGUUUCCUCUUUGCAAUGUUUCUUAGAGGCCCUGGGGAUUCACAGCAGAUCUGUUCCUCUGACUCACAUGCAUUGGAGGCAAUGUAUAUCCUCAUCUCUGUUCGCUAUCUGGUUAAAUCUUUCCGUCUAUCACCUCUUGCUGAGAGAGCAUCUCAACCUAACUAAUGUCUAUGUUAAUUAAUAUUUGCCAAAAAAAAAAAUCUGAUGUAUCUGUUUAUAUUUACAUGAAAAUAGGAUGAGGUUUGAUAAUAAGCCCAAUUAUGAGUGGAAGUAUAAUAUAUUAGACAUAAAAGAAAAGAAUAGAAUCAAAUGGUAGUCUCCACUAUCUCCCUUGAGUUUAUACAGGAGACAUCAGUAAUUAAUAAAGCCACUCAGAAUCCUUCUUGACACAGUGUUCUUGGCAAUGCUUACCAGUUGAUUGGAAGGGGCAGGUAGAUUGAAACCUAUUUGCCAUCUUUAUUUCCAUCUAUGGUAUAGGUUCAGUUAAAUCAUACGAAAAUAUCUGCUUUCUUACCUGGCUUUUAGCAAAAGCUUUGGAACUAAUUGUAGGGGAAGUAUGUGGGAAAGAAGGUAAGAUAAAACUGUAAUUUGCCACCUGCUGUUAGUUGAACACUUUGGCCGUAAAUUCAUGUCUUUGGUGUUUUUGUGUGUUUAUGUAUAAUAUUAUUCUCUUUAUGCUUCAUACAGGUCAGAAUAUUGACUUAGGAAAUAAAGUCUCAACUGUUUUUGCAUUUCUAACAUACUGGUCUAUCUCUGAUGAUGAGCAUUUAGAGAACUGAGUUCAUCAGGAGUCAUUACAAGUGAUGGGUAACCUAAGGUGGUUGUUAACAGUAUGGAUAUUAUGCAUAUGGACCACCCAGGUAUAAGAACAGAUUAUUAUUACUAGAAACAAACUAAUUCUUUCUUUUCUUUAAGAUUUUUUUUUUUUAAAAUGUGGACCAUUUCUGAAGUCUUCAUUGAAUUUGUUACAUUAUUGCUUCUGAUUUAUGUUUUGACUUUUUGGCCGUGAGGCAUGUGGGGUCUUAGCUCCCAAUCAGAGUUUGAACCCACUUCCCCUGUAUUGGAAGGUCAAGUCUUAACCAAUGGACCACUAGGGAAGUCCCUAGAGAGAAACUAAUUCUUAAGAAAAGAAUGCUCAAACUGAUUCCAGCCUCCCUUGCAAUCCUUUCUGGACAUUCAGAAUCAAUUUGGGGAAAUUUCUGUGAAGCUUAGAGUUUUGACAGUGUUAUUCAGAAUUUUCAAUUACCUUCUUGAAGACAAGACAAAGAAAGAUGUCGGUUCAUUCAUAAAUAUUUAAUCAUAUUUAGUAUGGCUCUAAGUUAUGGUUUUAAAAAUAAUUGGCAAUGACUUAAAAGAAUGGAAAACACUAUAUGGGAGUACAUAUAUAUUUCAUCUUUUGCUGUUUAUGAUAUGUGGUUUCAGACAAUUUUGGCAGAAACAGUUUUUUACCUUACUUUAGCUGCAAACCUUAGGCAGUGUAAUCUAAGAAAGUGAAGCCUCUACAGCAACGUAUAUAAUUCUUUAUCCUAAAUUAACAUGGUUGAUCUACCACCAUUAGUGCUUCUCCAUUUAGCAUUGUCACAGCCACUUGAAAAGGUUUCUGGGUUUAUUUUCAUUUUCAUGUGGUAUGUAUGUGCAUGUACACAUGUGCAUGUGAGUGAUUACAUGCCCACAUGUACAUUCUUUAGGGUUGCAAACAGGGGCUAUAGAUUCCAUUAAGAAUAAUAUUGGUCUUUUUCUUCUGUGUUGACAUAAACUGUGUGUGUAUCCCCAGAUUAACAACAUAGAAUAACCACACUUGGGGCCUUCUUUGGAAUUAAGUUGGACUAACAGUUUCUUUCAUCUUUUAUCUUGUUUUCCCUUACCUGGUUUGCAGUUUGGAAUGGUACCCUCUGCCUUUGGUGUAAGACUCAACCUUAUAAAACCUCCUAACCUAUUUGCUUUAGUAGUGCCACCAGGCAUAUACCCAGUUAAAUAACUCUGUGUUCCUGCCUCCAUUAGCAGUUCACUUAUUCCUAAAAAUAUUUGUAUUGCAUUAGUAAUACUUGUUUCAAAAACUAAUAAGAAACAGAUAGCCAAAAGAAAAAUAAGAUACACUAUUAAUAAUUUCAAAAUGUGCUGCUUCUCUCAGCCAUGUCCUGUCUCUUUCCACCUAUGUUUUUUGCUUUUCCAGCUCUCUGCCUGUCUUUCUUCAUUUUUGUCUGUCUUAUUUGUUUCCUGUUCCUCUUUAUGUCUCUGGAUCUUCAAUUCUUUGCCCUAGUCACUCCUAGUUUCUGUUUCUAUCUAGCACAUUUUUAAGUAAAAAAAAAAAAAAAGUAAAAAACAUCGUUCUAUAAGUUGGUGGUUAAGGCUUUGAAUUUUUGAUAUAUUGUUAUUGAUUUUUGGCUGUGCUUCUUGUAACUUUGAAAAAUUUUUUCACCUACAUAAGUCUCUUAUUUUUGCAUUGGUAAAAUGCCAUUAGGAUUAAGGCAUUUAGGAAAUGUGAACAGUUAGUCUUAGGGACUUACUUGUUUGUAUUUCUUUACAUACUUUCCUGAUUAUUUUAUGGUAAAUUUCUAGGAUGUGAAUUGCUUCAUUAUAUGGCAUGCAUUUUUAAACACAUAUUUCCAAAUUGCCCUCCAGGUAGGUUGGGUCUAUUAAUAUUGCACAAGUAAUUUUGGAGAAUGUUCAUACCCUAACCAACAGUUGUGGGUUAUUAUUCUUUUAAAAAUUUCCUAAUAAUAAAUGAAGAUAUUUAUUGCUAUUUUACUUUUAAUAAUAGUGAGGUCAGAUUUUCUUUAUAUGCUUUAAUGAAUUGUAUGCUCAUAUACUUUGCACACUUUUUCAUUUAGGUGUUCAGUUUUUUUUUCCUUAUUGAUGUUUUAGAGCUCUUUGUAUAUUAAGAAUACUAGCUCUUUAUAGUAUGUAUUGUAAAUAUUUUCCCAGUUUUUUUGCUUGCAUGUAAUUUAAUUAUGGGGUGUUUUUAUGCAUGGGUGUUUUAGUUGUUACCUUUAUGAAUCAUUAGUCUUUUAUCAUUUCUACCUUUUUAGAUCUAAGUAUUAGGACAUAUUUUCCUUUUUCUGAGAAACUCAUAUUGCUUGCCCCCUUUUGACUUUCAGUCAAUUCUUCAUUAACAUGGGUUAUAAGGAAGAGCAGGCUGCCAUAGAGAAUAUAAAAUCUUGGUUAAACAUUAUACUCAAUACAUGUUACAAAAUGGAUUACAUGCAAACUUAUUUAUUGAAAGUUAAACCUAGUAUUUGUGCAUUUGUUUGGCAUUCUAUUAAGUAACACAAAGUAUUAUAUAAAUUGCUUGAAGGAAAGUAUGUAGAAAUAGUCUGUUGUUACUUGUUAUUAGUUAUAUUUGCUUAUAAUCAUCAGUAUAGAGCCAUUGUACCUUUAGUCUCUCUUUGAGCAAGUGUCAUUUAUUACAUAAAUAAACUGGACCCUAGAGAGUCUGCAGUUAAGCUUAGCUUUAUUAAUAAUCUCACUUUUGUGGGCUAGUAGUGGAAAAGACCGUGAUGCUGGGAAAGACUGAAGUCAAAAGAAGAAGGGGCAGCAGAGGAUGAGAUGGUUAGGUAGCAUCACCAGUUCAAUGGACAUAAAUCUGAGCAAGCUCCGGGAGAUGGUGAAGGACAGGGAAGCCUGGCAUGUUGCAGUCCAUGGGUUGCAAAGAGUUGGACAUGACUUAGUGACUGAGCAACAACAACAGGUGGAACACAGCUCAUUCUCUUCUCUCUGUCACUUGACCUCACAGCACUGUUCCAGCCUUCAGAGGCCACACCCUAGUGUUAUUUCCAUCAGUUUACUUCUUAUGAGUUCAGUGUCAUUAUCAGGAUUAAGUUAGGCUGCUAGAAGGUAUAUCAGUGUCAAAUCAUUUCAAAGAAGAAUUUUCCUUUCGUGGUGUAUGUUCAUUUAGAUGUGAUUGUCUUCAUAUGCAGUCAUGGCAUUGUUUCUUUGAAGGCCAAUGUGGGAGGAUGUCAUGUCAUUUUCUUCUUUUACUUAUUUUAUUUGUCUUAAUGAACAGCCUGAGAUCCAUGAGAAUUUAAUGUUCUUCAUUUAAAUCAUAAAUUACUAUUUUAUAUUAUAGAGUAAUUUGUAUAGUAUCUCCCCUACCCAACUCUUGAAUGACUUCACUUCUCAAAAUGUAAAGCAUCACAUAUUUCCACCUCUGCUCAACCCACGUUUUCAGUACUAGGUUAUUUAUCUGGUUUCAGGAGCAAAAACCAGAAAGGGCCAGGAUUGGAGUUGGAAUGGGUGGGUGGGUAGAGAGAGGCUCCUACAUGGCAGAUGCAACAAUGUAGCUCUUGUUGAUUAUUAAUAAAAUUUCUAAAAAUAGGUGCCUGACAAAUAUUUAUUCUUAAUUUGUGUUCAUUUUAAUUCCAUGCAUGCAUAUCACUAUAACAUCUAUUAACAUUUUUUUAAAUGGUCAAAUUGCUUGCAUUUCAAACCAUUCCUCUAUGCUAUCUCCACCCUCUUGCUCACCACAUCAGAACUGGAGUAUAUAUUACUGUGAAUGUUGUUUUGCUUCCAGGAAGCCCAGAUUCAGAUUUACUGUUCAGCUAUAGCAACUGUAUAGGUCCUCACUGCAUGCUUAUUUCUGAUCUCCUUUUCUUUUUUUCACUCAACAAAUAUGCUUUCUUGUAUCCUUUGUGAAAAGAGGCAGGGUAUAAAUUGCCAAAUUUUAAAAAAAUGGUUAUUAUGUCUAUUAUAUAUCCCCAAAUUAAUAUCAUAUUUUCCUCUGCAUUUACUUAAUUGACCACAGCUUGGCUUAUUUUUUCAAUAAUGAUGAAGGAAUUUACCAUGAGAUAUCCAUACUUAAUCAAUACACAUUAUGGCCAACUCUUAACUCAGGAACACGAAGAGCUGUCAAGCAGGGGUUUCCAGGCAGUAAUUUAUCCCUCCUGCAAACCUUAUUCAAUGACAUUACACACAAGAGGCAACAGUCUGGGCACCAACGAUACAACAGCAUACACAACCACCUCUGUUCUUACAGUCUGAAGUGGAAGCCAGAGCUCCCCCCCCCC